rnacentral:rRNA from 1 species
GUGAGGAAUUUUCCGCAAUGGGCGAAAGCCUGACGGAGCAAUGCCGCGUGAAGGAUGAAGGCCUAUGGGUUGUAAACUUCUUUUCUCAGAAAAGAAUUAUGACGGUAUCUGAGGAAUAAGCAUCGGCUAACUCUGUGCCAGCAGCCGCGGUAAGACAGAGGAUGCAAGCGUUAUACGGAAUGAUUGGGCGUAAAGCGUCUGUAGGUUGUUUAAAAAGUAUUCUGUCAAAGAUUAGGGCUUAACCCUAGAUAGGCAGAAUAAACUUUUAAGCUAGAGUUUGGUAGAGGCAGAGGGAAUUCCCGGUGGAGCGGUGAAAUGCGUAGAUAUCGGGAGGAACACCAAAGGCGAAGGCACUCUGCUGGGCCAAUACUAACACUGAGAGACGAAAGCGAGGGGAGCAAAUGGGAUGAGAUACCCGGGUAGUAC